rnacentral:lncRNA from 1 species
UAAGUCUCGAAAGUACGCCUGUCAUCUCUGCUUGACUUGAGACUCCCCAUCAGAAGUCUAUCAUCCUCGUCCUUGAUGCACCUAACUUGGUCAAGUUCACGCGCCUUCCUUUCCUUUGGUUUAGCUAACCGGAAUAACUUCUUGUUCCCGCCUUUCUCCCCUAAUUCUUCGUACAUGCGACCAAACGCCGCGUUUUUAGCUUCCGUAACCGCCAGCUUUGCUUCUUUCCUC